GGCGGACGGGUGAGUAACACGUGGGAACGUGCCUUUAGGUUCGGAAUAACUCAGGGAAACUUGUGCUAAUACCGAAUGUGCCCUUCGGGGGAAAGAUUUAUCGCCUUUAGAGCGGCCCGCGUCUGAUUAGCUAGUUGGUGAGGUAAAGGCUCACCAAGGCGACGAUCAGUAGCUGGUCUGAGAGGAUGAUCAGCCACAUUGGGACUGAGACACGGCCCAAACUCCUACGGGAGGCAGCAGUGGGGAAUCUUGCGCAAUGGGCGAAAGCCUGACGCAGCCAUGCCGCGUGAAUGAUGAAGGUCUUAGGAUUGUAAAAUUCUUUCACCGGGGACGAUAAUGACGGUACCCGGAGAAGAAGCCCCGGCUAACUUCGUGCCAGCAGCCGCGGUAAUACGAAGGGGGCUAGCGUUGCUCGGAAUUACUGGGCGUAAAGGGAGCGUAGGCGGACAUUUAAGUCAGGGGUGAAAUCCCGGGGCUCAACCUCGGAAUUGCCUUUGAUACUGGGUGUCUUGAGUAUGAGAGAGGUGUGUGGAACUCCGAGUGUAGAGGUGAAAUUCG
rnacentral:rRNA from 1 species